GCGCGAAAACUUUACAAUGCUGGCAACAGCGAUAAGGGGACCUCGAGUGCCAGGUUACAAAUCUGGCUGUCGUAAUGCCUAAAAAGCAUUGCAUAGCAAGGGCCGGGCAAGACCGGUGCCAGCCGCCGCGGUAACACCGGCGGCUCGAGUGGUAACCGUUAUUAUUGGGUCUAAAGGGUCUGUAGCCGGCCGGAUAAGUCUCUUGGGAAAUCUGGCAGCUUAACUGUCGGGCUUUCAGGAGAUACUGUCUGGCUCGAGGCCGGGAGAGGUGAGAGGUACUUCAGGGGUAGGGGUGAAAUCUUGUAAUCCUUGAAGGGCCACCAGUGGCGAAGGCGUCUCACCAGAACGGACCUGACGGCAAGGGGCGAAAGCUAGGGGCACGAACC
rnacentral:rRNA from 1 species